rnacentral:rRNA from 1 species
UUACCCACUCCCGGCACGGGGAGGUAGUGACGAAAAAUAACGAUACGGGACUCAUCCGAGGCCCCGUAAUCGGAAUGAGUACACUCUAAACCCUUUAACGAGGAUCAAUUGGAGGGCAAGUCUGGUGCCAGCAGCCGCGGUAAUUCCAGCUCCAAUAGCGUAUAUNAAAGUUGUUGCGGUUAAAAAGCUCGUAGUCGAAUCUGUGUCUCGCGCCGCCGGUUCAUCGCUCGCGGUGUUUAACUGGCGUGCCGCGGGACGUCCUGCCGGUGGGCUUAGCUUUCGGGCGGCCCAACUUGAAAUCCCACCGCGGUGCUCUUCAUUGAGUGUCGAGGUGGGCCGGCACGUUUACUUUGAACAAAUUAGAGUGCUUAAAGCAGGCUAAAAUUUCGCCUGAAUACUGUGUGCAUGGAAUAAUGGAAUAGGACCUCGGUUCUAUUUUGUUGGUUUUCGGAACCCCGAGGUAAUGAUUAAUAGGAACGGAUGGGGGCAUUCGUAUUGCGACGUUAGAGGUGAAAUUCUUGGAUCGUCGCAAGACGAACAGAAGCGAAAGCAUUUGCCAAAAACGCUUUCAUUGAUCAAGAACGAAAGUUAGAGGUUCGAAGGCGAUCAGAUACCGCCCUAGUUCUAACCAUAAACGAUGCCAGCUAGCGAUCCGCCGACGUUCCUCCGAUGACUCGGCGGGCAGCUUCCGGGAAACCAAAGCUUUUGGGUUCCGGGGGAAGUAUGGUUGCAAAGCUGAAACUUAAAGGAAUUGACGGAAGGGCACCACCAGGAGUGGAGCCUGCGGCUUAAUUUGACUCAACACGGGAAACCUCACCAGGCCCGGACACCGGAAGGAUUGACAGAUUGAGAGCUCUUUCUUGAUUCGGUGGGUGGUGGUGCAUGGCCGUUCUUAGUUGGUGGAGCGAUUUGUCUGGUUAAUUCCGAUAACGAACGAGACUCUAGCCUGCUAACUAGGCGUACUUUCGACAUCUCAAAGGCCCGCCGGCCCGGACCGUCCUCGGGACGCGGUCGCGCGCGGUUUUUACUGUCGGCGUACAAUCAAUUCUUCUUAGAGGGACAGGCGGCUUCUAGCCGCACGAGAUUGAGCAAUAACAGGUCUGUGAUGCCCUUAGAUGUUCUGGGCCGCACGCGCGCUACACUGAAGGAAUCAGCGUGUCCUCCCUGGCCGAGAGGCCCGGGUAACCCGCUGAACCUCCUUCGUGCUAGGGAUUGGGGCUUGCAAUUGUUCCCCAUGAACGAGGAAUUCCCAGUAAGCGCGAGUCAUAAGCUCGCGUUGAUUACGUCCCUGCCCUUUGUACACACCGCCCGUCGCUACUACCGAUUGAAUGAUUUAGUGAGGUCUUCGGACCGGUACGCGGCGGCGCUCCCGCGUCGCCGAUGUUGCUGGGAAGAUGACCAAA